ACGAAUAUCUAUGGCGUUGGUUGUAGUCUACCCUUUAAAGGUGUGAUUCGCCUAGAAAUAUCAAUUCACCCAAUGUGCACUGUUUCUGUUUUUCGGGUGAUUUUUGAAUUUUACAGUACUUUUCUGGGUACAGUAAAAAGAAGAGAUUGCCCGGCAGUUAUAAACCCAACCAUAAUUUUAUUUGUCUGAUAAUUUCUGAAAAUGAAAUGAUAAA
rnacentral:misc_RNA from 1 species